rnacentral:rRNA from 1 species
GCUUGCGAUGUGCCUAAGGUAUGCAAGUCGAACGAUUCCUGUAUCUUCGGAUACAGGGAGUGGCAAACGGCUGAGUAACGCGUAGGAACCUACCCCAAACUCGAGUAUAGCCCCGCGAAAGCGGGGGUAAUCCUCGAUAGCCCGUGAAGUAUUUUACUUCACGGUAAAGCUUUUGCGGUUUGGGAUGGGCCUGCGUCCUAUCAGGUAGUUGGUGAGGUAAAUGCUCACCAAGCCUAUGGCGGGUAGCUGGUCUGAGAGGAUGGUCAGCCAGACUGGGACUGCGACACGGCCCAGACUCCUACGGGAGGCAGCAACUAGGAAUUGUGCGCAAUGGACGAAAGUCUGACGCCGCGACAUCGCGUGGAGGAUGAAGGUCUUCGGAUUGUAAACUCCUUUUCUUACCGAACAAGUUCUGAGUGUAGGUAAGGAAUAAGUGCCUGCUAACCACGUGCCAGAAGCAUCGGUAAUACGUGGGGCACGAGCGUUAUCCGGAUUUACUGGGCGUAAAGAGAAGCGUAGGCGGCUCAAUAAGUUUGGUGUUAAAUCUUCCGGCUCAACCGGAAACAAGCACCGAAAACUAUCGAGAUUGAGUCGAGUAGGGAAGAGGGGAAUUCCUGGUGGAGCGGUUAAAUGCGUAGAUAUCAGGAGGAAUACCAAGGGCGAAGGCACCUCUUUGGACUCGUACUGACGCUGAGGCUCGAAAGCGUGGGUAGCAAAACGGAUUAGAUACCCGUGUAGUCCACGCCGUAAACGAUCCCUGUUAGAUGU